rnacentral:rRNA from 1 species
GACGAACGCUGGCGGCGUGCUUAACACAUGCCAAUCGAACGGAAAGGCCCUGCUUUUGUGGGGUGCUCGAGUGGCGAACGGGUGAGUAACACGUGAGUAACCUGCCCUUGACUUUGGGAUAACUUCAGGAAACUGGGGCUAAUACCGGAUAGGAGCUCCUGCUGCAUGGUGGGGGUUGGAAAGUUUCGGCGGUUGGGGAUGGACUCGCGGCUUAUCAGCUUGUUGGUGGGGUAGUGGCUUACCAAGGCUUUGACGGGUAGCCGGCCUGAGAGGGUGACCGGCCACAUUGGGACUGAGAUACGGCCCAGACUCCUACGGGAGGCAGCAGUGGGGAAUAUUGCACAAUGGGCGGAAGCUUGAUGCAGCAACGCCGCGUGCGGGAUGACGGCCUUCGGGUUGUAAACCGCUUUCGCCUGUGACGAAGCGUGAGUGACGUAAUGGGUAAAGAAGCACCGGCUAACUACGUG